GACGAACGCUGGCGGCGUGCCUAAUACAUGCAAGUAGAACGCUGAAGGAGGAGCUUGCUCUUCUGGAUGAGUUGCGAACGGGUGAGUAACGCGUAGGUAACCUGCCUGGUAGCGGGGGAUAACUAUUGGAAACGAUAGCUAAUACCGCAUAAGAGUAGAUGUUGCAUGACAUUUACUUAAAAGGUGCAAUUGCAUCACUACCAGAUGGACCUGCGUUGUAUUAGCUAGUUGGUGGGGUAACGGCUUACCAAGGCGACGAUACAUAGCCGACCUGAGAGGGGGAUCGGCCACACUGGGACUGAGACACGGCCCAGACUCCUACGGGAGGCAGCAGUAGGGAAUCUUCGGCAAUGGACGGAAGUCUGACCGAGCAACGCCGCGUGAGUGAAGAAGGUUUUCGGAUCGUAAAGCUCUGUUGUAAGAGAAGAACGAGUGUGAGAGUGGAAAGUUCACACUGUGGCGGUAGCUUACCAGAAAGGGACGGCUAACUACGUG
rnacentral:rRNA from 1 species